CCUACGGGAGGCAGCAGUGGGGAAUAUUGCACAAUGGGGGAAACCCUGAUCCAGCGACGCCGCGUGAGUGAAGAAGUAUUUCGGUAUGUAAAGCUCUAUCAGCAGGGAAGAAAAUGACGGUACCUGAUUAAGAAGCCCCGACUAACUACGUGCCAGCGGCCGCGGUAAUACGUAGGGGGCAAGCGGUAUCCGGAUUUGCUGGGUGUAACGGGAGCGUAGACGGCAGCACAAGUCUGGAGUGAAAUGCCGGGGCUUAACCCCGGAACUGCUUUGGAAACUGUGCAGCUAGAGUGCAGGAGAGGUAAGUGGAAUUGCUAGUGUAGCGGUGAAAUGCGGAGAUAUUAGGAGGAAAACCAGUGGCGAAGGCGGCUUACUGGACUGUAACUGACGUUGAGGCUCGAAAGCGUGGGGAGCAAACAGGAUUAGAUACCCGAGUAGUC
rnacentral:rRNA from 1 species